UACGAAGGGGGCUAGCGUUGCUCGGAAUCACUGGGCGUAAAGGGUGCGUAGGCGGGUCUUUAAGUCAGGGGUGAAAUCCUGGAGCUCAACUCCAGAACUGCCUUUGAUACUGAGGAUCUUGAGUACGGGAGAGGUGAGUGGAACUGCGAGUGUAGAGGUGAAAUUCGUAGAUAUUCGCAAGAACACCAGUGGCGAAGGCGGCUCACUGGCCCGUUACUGACGCUGAGGCCCGAAAGCGUGGGGAGCAAACAGG
rnacentral:rRNA from 1 species